rnacentral:rRNA from 1 species
GACGAAGGGGGCUAGCGUUGUUCGGAAUCACUGGGCGUAAAGCGCACGUAGGCGGAUGUGUCAGUCAGGGGUGAAAUCCCGGAGCUCAACUUCGGAACUGCCUUUGAUACAGCACGUCUUGAGUCCGAUAGAGGUGGGUGGAAUUCCUAGUGUAGAGGUGAAAAUUCGUAGAUAUUCGGAAGAACACCAGUGGCGAAGGCGGCUCACUGGUCCGGUACUGACGCUGAUGUGCGGAAAAGCGUGGGGAGCAAACAGG